rnacentral:rRNA from 1 species
UGGGGAAUUUUGGACAAUGGGCGAAAGCCUGAUCCAGCAAUGCCGCGUGUGUGAAGAAGGCCUUCGGGUUGUAAAGCACUUUUGUCCGGAAAGAAAUCCUUGGCUCUAAUACAGUCGGGGGAUGACGGUACCGGAAGAAUAAGCACCGGCUAACUACGUGCCAGCAGCCGCGGUAAUACGUAGGGUGCAAGCGUUAAUCGGAAUUACUGGGCGUAAAGCGUGCGCAGGCGGUCUGCUAAGACCGAUGUGAAAUCCCCGGGCUCAACCUGGGAACUGCAUUGGUGACUGGCAGGCUAGAGUAUGGCAGAGGGGGGUAGAAUUCCACGUGUAGCAGUGAAAUGCGUAGAGAUGUGGAGGAAUACCGAUGGCGAAGGCAGCCCCCUGGGCCAAUACUGACGCUCAUGCACGAAAGCGUGGGGAGCAAACAGGAUUAGAUACCCUGGUAGUCCACGCCCUAAACGAUGUCAACUAGUUGUUGGGGAUUCAUUUCCUUAGUAACGUAGCUAACGCGUGAAGUUGACCGCCUGGGGAGUACGGUCGCAAGAUUAAAACUCAAAUGAAUUGACGGGGUCAUAGCUGUUUCCU